rnacentral:rRNA from 1 species
AUUGAACGCUGGCGGCAGGCCUAACACAUGCAAGUCGAACGAGUGGCGGACGGGUGAGUAAUGUAUGGGAAACUGCCUGAUGGAGGGGGAUAACUACUGGAAACGGUGGCUAAUACCGCAUACCAUCGGAUGUACCCAUAUGGGAUUAGCUAGUAGGUGGGGUAAAGGCUCACCUAGGCGACGAUCCCUAGCUGGUCUGAGAGGAUGACCAGCCACACUGGAACUGAGACACGGCCCAGACUCCUACGGGAGGCAGCAGUGGGGAAUAUUGCACAAUGGGCGCAAGCCUGAUGCAGCCAUGCCGCGUGUAUGAAGAAGGCCUUCGGGUUGUAAAGUACUUUCAGCGGGGAGGCGUUACCGGCAGAAGAAGCACCGGCUAACUCCGUGCCAGCAGCCGCGGUAAUUC